UACGGGGGGGGCAAGCGUUGUUCGGAAUUACUGGGCGUAAAGGGCCAGUAGGCGGCCAACUAAGUCGGAUGUGAAAUCCCUCGGCUCAACCGGGGAACUGCGUCUGAUACUGGGUGGCUUGAAUCCGGGAGAGGGAUGCGGAAUUCCAGGUGUAGCGGUGAAAUGCGUAGAUAUCUGGAGGAACACCGGUGGCGAAGGCGGCAUCCUGGACCGGCAUUGACGCUGAGGCGCGAAAGCCAGGGGAGCAAACGGG
rnacentral:rRNA from 1 species